rnacentral:rRNA from 1 species
GACGAACGCUGGCGGCGUGCCUAAUACAUGCAAGUCGAACGCAGUGGGGACGGGUGAGUAACACGUGGGUAACCUCCCAUCAGAGGGGAUAACACUUGGAAACAGGUGCUAAACCGAUACUGAUGGAUGGACCCGCGGUGCAGUAGCUAGUUGGUGGGGUAACGGCUCACCAAGGCCACGAUGCAGAGCCGACCGGUGAGGGGGAUGGCCCACACUGGGACUGAAACAGGGCCCAGACUCCUACGGGAGGCAGCAGGAGGGAAUCUUCGGAAAUGGACGAAAGCCUAACCGAGCACCGCCGCGUGAGUAAAGAAGGUUUUCGGAUCGUAAGACUCUGUUGUUGGGGAAACGGUAUCUAACCAGAAAGCCACGGCUAACUACGUGCCAGCAGCCGCGGUAAUAC